UACGUAGGGCGCAAGCGUUGCCCCGGAUUUAUUGGGCGUAAAGAGCUCGUAGGCGGUCUGUCGCGUCGAAUGUGAAAACCCGGGGCUCAACCCCGGGCCUGCAUUCGAUACGGGCAGACUAGAGUUCGGUAGGGGAGUCUGGAAUUCCUGGUGUAGCGGUGAAAUGCGCAGAUAUCAGGAGGAACACCGGUGGCGAAGGCGGGACUCUGGGCCGAUACUGACGCUGAGGAGCGAAAGCGUGGGGAGCGAACAGG
rnacentral:rRNA from 1 species